UACGGAGGGUGCGAGCGUUACCCGGAUUUACUGGGUGUAAAGGGCGUGUAGGCGGUCUUGCAAGUCCGGUGCUAAAGACCGGGGCUCAACCCCGGGGGUGCGCUGGAUACUGUAAGGCUAGACGGUCGGAGGGGGUAGUGGAAUUUCCGGAGUAGCGGUGAAAUGCGCAGAUACCGGAAGGAACGCCGAUAGCGAAGGCAGCUACCUGGACGACAUGUGACGCUGAGGCGCGAAAGCGUGGGGAGCAAACCGG
rnacentral:rRNA from 1 species